UACGUAGGUGGCAAGCGUUGUCCGGAUUUACUGGGCGUAAAGGGAGCGUAGGCGGACUUUUAAGUGAGAUGUGAAAUACCCGGGCUCAACUUGGGUGCUGCAUUUCAAACUGGAAGUCUAGAGUGCAGGAGAGGAGAAUGGAAUUCCUAGUGUAGCGGUGAAAUGCGUAGAGAUUAGGAAGAACACCAGUGGCGAAGGCGAUUCUCUGGACUGUAACUGACGCUGAGGCUCGAAAGCGUGGGGAUCAAACAGGAUUAGAUACCCCGGUA
rnacentral:rRNA from 1 species